CCUACGGGAGGCAGCAGUGAGGAAUAUUGGUCAAUGGACGAGAGUCUGAACCAGCCAAGUAGCGUGAAGGAUGACUGCCCUAUGGGUUGUAAACUUCUUUUAUAUGGGAAUAAAAUGUUCCACGUGUGGGAUUUUGUAUGUACCAUAUGAAUAAGGAUCGGCUAACUCCGUGCCAGCAGCCGCGGUAAUACGGAGGAUCCGAGCGUUAUCCGGAUUUAUUGGGUUUAAAGGGAGCGUAGGUGGAUUGUUAAGUCAGUUGUGAAAGUUUGCGGCUCAACCGUAAAAUUGCAGUUGAAACUGGCAGUCUUGAGUACAGGAGAGGUGGGCGGAAGUCGUGGUGUAGCGGUGAAAUGCUUAGAUAUCACGCAGAACUCCGAUUGCGAAGGCAGUUCACUGGACUGCAACUGACACUGAGGCUCGAAAGUGUGGGUAUCAAACAGGAUUAGAUACCCCAGUAGUC
rnacentral:rRNA from 1 species